GACGAACGCUGGCGGCGUGCUUAACACAUGCAAGUCGAACGGAAAGGCCCUGCUUUUGUGGGGUGCUCGAGUGGCGAACGGGUGAGUAACACGUGAGUAACCUGCCCUUGACUUUGGGAUAACUUCAGGAAACUGGGGCUAAUACCGGAUAGGAGCUCCUGCUGCAUGGUGGGGGUUGGAAAGUUUCGGCGGUUGGGGAUGGACUCGCGGCUUAUCAGCUUGUUGGUGGGGUAGUGGCUUACCAAGGCUUUGACGGGUAGCCGGCCUGAGAGGGUGACCGGCCACAUUGGGACUGAGAUUCGGCCCAGACUCCUACGGGAGGCAGCAGUGGGGAAUAUUGCACCAUGGGCGGAAGCCUGAUGCAGCAACGCCGCGUGCGGGAUGACGGCCUUCGGGUUGUAAACCGCUUUCGCCUGUGACGAAGCGUGAGUGACGGUAAUGGGUAAAGAAGCACCGGCUAACUACGUG
rnacentral:rRNA from 1 species